rnacentral:sRNA from 1 species
CCAUCUCAUCCUCUCUCUCCAUCUCUUCCUCUCUCUCUGUGUUUUUCCCCAAUAGAUUUUUACAGAUUCCAUUUGACAAGCAAAACUAAAUGGAAAUUUUUCUAAAUCAAAUUUACGUUGUAGCAUUUUUUCUAUACGAGGAUUUUGUCGGUUUUUUUUGGGUUAGUCAUGGCUUGCGGAGCAAAACAACAGAUUUUAAUCACCUUAAUUAGUUUACGGUUGCGAUUUCGCAAAAACGAAACAAAGUGAAACCGAAAAAUGUAGACCAAAAAUAAGGGCGAAAAAAGAAACUUCCGAGAAGUCGGGGAUUCGAAUACUCUUUGUUUUGGGUUUCUGCCAUUCGUUUUUAUGAGCUAUUUGGAACCUUUAUCCAACUUUUCCUUAAAAUUGUGGACGCUAUUCCGAUGACAUCUGUAUGGAUCUUGGACACCUAUGGAACCAUUUGAAUGAGCGGUCCAGUGGAUAAGACCUUCCUCGGAUAAAGGGCAUCGAGAUGGGUGAAAAGUAAGACUAACAUCUCCAGCAACCAUUUGCUGGGAUGAAAAAUUGCUUUGGCAAACAAGUUUGCACAUGUUGCAGCGGGCAGCGUGCAGCGUGCAACGUGCAACCUG